AAGUUUCUUUUUAGUUAAAUUAACAAUAAAAUGGUAUGGCUAUUAUUAGUUUGAUUUGAAUUUGGAAAAUAAGCAGUCAACCUCAACAUGAAAAAUAGCAAUACGAAUAGGAAUAGGUGGAGGGCGGGAUCCACGACCACAUUGUGUGGUGGGGCAGCAAUGCAGUUGCAAUUCUGGGACGUACACUAACAACGCUCUACUGCAGAUAUUUUCUUCUCAACAUGGCUGCUUGUUUGCUUGAUGUGAGAUUUCUCGCCUCGCCGCGUUAUUAUAUAUAAACCCCAAUUUAUAUUUUAUUUUCAUUCUUCUUAUUUAUGAAAUACAAGAACUUGAAUUAUAUUAUUGAUUUUUGUUAAUUUUUUGCAUAUAAAUUUGUGCAAUUUAAUGAUAAAUUUUAGCAUUGUUACGUACCCAAGUGGGGUAGCUUCUUAAUUCUUGCAAAUUACAAUGAUCAAAGUUUAUUAAUUGAAUUAUUUGAUAUAAAAAGUAGAUGAGAUAAAAAGAGAAAAGAAGAAGAUAUAAUGUAUUAGCUGUUGGUCAUAUUUGAUAUGGAAUGAGGGUUGCUUAAUACAUAUAUCCAAUCAUCAUGGAUUGGGGGGGGGGGGGACAGAGUGUGGGAAAUAUUGGUAUGUAAUAAAAGAGUAGUUCCAGCUGGAGGUAUCUCCGAAAGUACAUGAAUUAUUGGGUGGGCUUUAGGAUUAUUUAUAAUUUGAGGUAAAUAGAUGAGGGGGAUCUUGACAACUCUUACUUACAGCCAAUCGAUUACAUGGUGCAUAGGCAUAUAAUUGAAUUUGAAUGUGGGCUCACUCUCAUCAUCCUCUCUUUUUUCUUUUUAUGAUUUUUGUUCUAAACGCUUUGAUCAAUAUUUGAUAUGACACGCUCUUUUUUUUUUUUUUUUUUUGGUUGAAGAUUCAAUGGCAAAGGCGAGUCCACAUAAAAUCAGAGUCUAAAUCUAUGAUUUUAUAGAUCAUAUUGGUGUUUGUAAUUGUCAAGGGUCGUUUUCGUGAGUUUUGGCCUGUCAUCCAUUACCCAUUUUCCAUAAUCCCGCCUCCUU
rnacentral:lncRNA from 1 species